GAGGUUGUGGCUCAGUGGUAGAGCCCUCGCCUAGUGCGUGGGAAACCCUGAGUUUGAUCCUCAGCACCACA
rnacentral:tRNA from 1 species